CGGUUUGUAGACAUUUGUCAGUAUUUGAAAACUAGUGAGCUCGUGGAAGACUGUCGCCUGACCUCAGUCACAAAAAGACAUGGCUAACAGUAGUCUUCCAUCACUACUCUGUUUUAUGUUAAUAUUUUCGUUUCUUGUUUUCCACAAUGGAGUCAGAGGUUAUUCUGCCCAAGUUGGUAAAAGAUUGYUCAAGGGAACAGAUGAAAAAAUGAAUAGAAGACACGUAAAUGUCAAAGAAUCCAGGAUAAAGCAACGGCCUAUUAAAUGGAGUCAUUUGUGUCAAGCAGCGCGCUUAGCCGGCUGUGGAGAUAUAGCAUAGUACCAAAAUCCUUACAAUUUUUGUUAUUGAUGUUAUCAACCAAAAUGUAAUAAUAAAAUAUGAACAGAAUACAUCUUUAGCUAUUUUAAGAA